GCCAGGCUGGAGAGCUGGUCUCUCCCCUCCCAUCUCCUGCCCCACAAGAGCCUGCCCAGCACAGAGAACCCAGAGGAAGAAGGUGGAGGAGGACAGGGGAGCUGUGUAGGUGGGCGACCGAGGGGUCACACAGCGGCCGUCUGCUUGAUGCUGUGGAAGCUGAUCCGCGUGGGUGAUGUAGGGAUGGACAUGGCCCGGACCACGGGGACUCGAAGGGAGUGAUGGUCCUGCCAGCGGUGCCACCUCUUCCUCACGGCUGAGCGCACCUGUGGGGAAGGCAGAGGCUCAGCUGGCUCCCAGGGACCAACCCUGGGCUUCUGGGACCGUCCCCUCCUCUGCUCUCUGCUCUCAUGGGUCGACUGCCACCUCAUGACAAGGAACUGUCUGCUUCCAAAACCGAGGUCCUUCCCUGAUGCUGUUGCCUCUCUCCAGGGGCCCCUUCCUUAUCCUUCUCCUGGAGAAGCUUGACUCCACACCUCCUUUACUCCACACUGUCCUCCCAGAUCAUCCAGUUUCCUCUGGACACACUGCCUUCCCUUCCCUGACUCACUCUGCCACCUCAAAAUUAGCAUCUUGGGACCAGAGAGCGCAGCUUGGAGACUUGGCCCCCUCAGCCUUCUUGGGCCCCUGCUCCUUGCAGGGCGUUGGUGGUGUGCGCCCAGCUCACACACCUGGUGCGCCUCCUCCUCCCUCCUGAAGACCGUCCCCUCUGCGCCCCUCCACCUUCUCUACCUCCUGCUAGACUCCCCUGCCUGACUAACCAUGGCAUUUACUGCGUGAAAGGGAAGGCUCUCUGUCCUGGUCAUUUCUAAAGUUGGCUGUACCCGGUGCCAUUUAAGCUUCAUUUGUUUGGUAAUUGAAGAAUUUUUUUGGAAAUUGGCUGGUGUCUCUCACAUCCUAGCUUGCACAAGGUUCGAACAGAAUAAAUGCUCCAUAAACAUCCCUUGUUUGUUUGCCUUACUGGCCCCCUCUCUUCUUCUCAUCCAGCCCACACGACCCGUCUCUGCUGAUGGACUUUGCAAGUGGAAUGUGCUAUCAUCCACAGAGACACAGGCCUGCAUAGACACCUUGCCAGUGCCCUGUGCAGAGACAGGCAAGUGUAUUCCUCUGGAGUGUUCGGAAGCUCCCAGGCCCUAGGGACUGUGUCUGCUCUUUGCUCCAUGUCCUCAUCCACCCCCGCCCAGGAGUGCCGCCAACCCGUUGCCCUUGAGAUGGAGACCACCUCUUUGGUAUUGCAAAGAAGGUCCUUCGUAAUCGUCUAUCCCUCAUCCUCACCCUUCUGCUCCAUUUGAAAGGCCCUCCAGAACAACAUGUCAUUCCUGGGAACCAUCUUUGGUAUUGCAAAGAAGGGUCUUCAUGAUCAUCGUCCCCCAUCCUCACCCUCCUGCUUCAUUUGAAAGGCCCUCCAGAACAAUGUGUCACUACCAGAAACCAUUUGCUAUCUCUGUUCCUUGUUUGUAUUUCUGCACUGGAAAUGGCCUUACAGCUCCACACUCAUCCUUCAGACAUGCAGCUCCUUGGUGACCCCAUCUGCUGGGUGCUGGCCUAUGUCACAUCCAGGUUGCUUUUUAUUCAUUGUCUCAUCUACCAGCCCAUGCCUCCCCAAGGGCAGGGCUGGUCCUGUUCACUAACCCAUCCCCAGCACCCAUUGGAAUGCUCUAGACUUCAGCCCAGUGAGUCACUAAGAAAGAACAGAUACCUUGGCAGAAGAGCUGAGGAAAGCCCAGGUCCCUGUCUUCAGGCCAAGGCUCUCUCCCAUUUGACCAACCCUGGCAUAUGUGUGUGUGUUGCAUUGAGGAAUUAUUUCAAGGUAUCUUUGAAUCCAUUCGGAUUCUUGGCCAGGUGCAGUGGCUCACACCCAUAAUCUCAGCACUUGGGGAAGCCAAGGUAGGCAGAUUGCUUGAGCACAGGAAUUC
rnacentral:lncRNA from 1 species